ensembl:lncRNA
AAAUGCGUACCUCCACGGACCCCCUAGGGGUCGCGGACCCGCUGUUGAAGACCUCUGAUGUAAAUCAACCCAAAGUGCAAGAACACACGCGUGCUGUGUGUUUGUGUAACGGAGCGCCGGACGAAUGUCCAGGAGGACGAAGGACGCCCGUCUCCUCCGGAGAGGAAGAGGAGCCCUGCUGAAUGUGAGCCGAGCAGGAGCGGCUGAAAGUCAACAGGUGAAAGGAAUAAUCCAACAGCUUCAGGACGCAGAAACGAGUCCAGUGAAGGUGCCUCCUUCGAGGACUUGGGAGGUUUCUGAGCCACGUACCAGAGCGGAGGAGGAGGGAGCUGCUGCACGAGCGCGUCUGGGUUCCCCUCCAGAGGAACGUGGAGGAACGUCCAGCCGGAGCUCAUACCGUCACUGCGACACCAAGGGCUUUGAGCUCCUACCGGCGAUCCGAGGGAAUACAAUCCGUUCCUCGCACGCAUCACAAAGCCGCUUUCAAGGUGAAGGAAUGUUGUCAUCAAACGGUUCAUCCCGCAGCUCAGUGCGGUUGACUUGUGAGACGCGUCGUACCUUCAGUCACGUGAAAGACGGGAGGAAAAGGACUCUCGUGGAGCCGGAUGUAAAUACAGAAGGAAACUUGUAA